rnacentral:rRNA from 1 species
UACGUAGGGUGCGAGCGUUGCCCGGAUUUACUGGGCGUAAAGGGCGCGUAGGCGGCGGCCCAAGUCGAGUGUGAAAGCCCCGGGCUCAACCUGGGAGGUGCGCUCGAGACUGGUUUGCUGGAGUUCGGGAGAGGAGCGUGGAAUUCCCAGUGUAGAGGUGAAAUUCGUAGAUAUUGGGAAGAACACCGGUGGCGAAGGCGGCGCUCUGGACCGAGACUGACGCUGAGGCGCGAAAGCGUGGGGAGCAAACAGG